UGCGGGGGCGCUUUGGUGCAAUGGUACUUUAUAAAAGGGAAGCAGCCUGUUCUUAGAAUGUGGUAGUUGGAACCCUGAACACUCCAGUUGAAGUUGGAAAGUCCAAACUGAUCAUUGUGGACUGCAGAGUAUCGGACGCAGUAAGAGGUCCACGGUGGAAGUUUUCGCUGAACUAGAUGACAGCAGGGGAGAACCUGUUGCAUCAUGUCCAGCCACCGCUUGGCUCCAUCCAGCAACACCUCCAGGAGCGCACUCUGGAUUUCUGCCUGAGCUACAAUCCUCAACUGAAUCAAGACCACUGAGCUCUUUGACAGACCACAAGAAGAGGCCAGGUGCUGAGAGAUGCUCCGCUUAAAGGCACACAUCUGUCUCCUACUGGGCUGUGAAAAUGGGGAGGUGGGGGGGUUGGUGAAAGAGAAAAGCUCAUUCUAUUGCAAAGCUAGUCUGACUUUCAGAAGAAGGAAGUAGGCAAGUAGCCAGUGAUUAGCAGUUGGGGAAGCUACGGCUGUCUUAUUGGCAUGCGAGAGCAGGUACGGGUGUCCGCCCUGAGACAGCUGUAGAGCACCAGCCCAUAACACAGCAAUCAAGCGCCUGUUUCUUUACAAGAAUGCUGAUGUGCUGCAAUCUGCUGCUUUCUUCAGCCAACUCGUCCAUCUGUACAAUAUCACAACGACAGUCAGCCUCUUCUUGUCACGUCACGUUAGGUGAGGAUUCACGGAACAUGAAAACACUGUGGAAAGUGUAUAAACUAUAUCUAAAAGGAAGGCUGACCUUUGCAAAGAUAUGUUUGUUGUGACAGGGGCAGCCAAGUAACCUUUGUGUCACCAUUGCUCUGUGAGCGAGACCUUUGAGUGUGGAGGGAUACCAUCACUCUUCACGCCAGCAUGUAGUCUAUCCUGCUGAAUGAAGGAGUGCCAUAAAUAUGAGUGAAUGAAACUGAUUGUCAAUCCAUCUUCAUGGUUUCACAAGGUAAAGUGCCCUGAGGAAUGGGUUAUAUGAGCAAUUAAUAUUAACACAAAGGAGAUCAAUGUGAACCUUUCUAACGUGAAUAACCUAGAAAUAUGGAGCUCUUUAUUCUAUACGUACAUCAAUUCUCAAUACCUCUACAUCCUCUAUAGAUGAAUAGUACAUUAACCUAGAAUCACAUUACUUUAACCUAAAUUUAUAGUUCUUAACUUGCUCUUUUGUGGAAAUUUAGAAGGAUCCUCAUACAAGCAGAAAGGGUAUGAUAUUUGUGUGACUGGC